CCUACGGGUGGCAGCAGUGAGGAAUAUUGGUCAAUGGACGGAAGUCUGAACCAGCCAUGCCGCGUGCAGGAAGACUGCCCUAUGAGUUGUAAACUGCUUUUGUAAAAGGGUAAACCUGAAUACGUGUAUUCAUUUGAAAGUACUGUACGAAUAAGGAUCGGCUAACUCCGUGCCAGCAGCCGCGGUAAUACGGAGGAUCCAAGCGUUAUCCGGAUUUAUUGGGUUUAAAGGGUGCGUAGGCGGAUUGAUAAGUUAGAGGUGAAAUGUCCGGGCUUAACUCGGGAACUGACUUUAAUACUGUUGACCUAGAGAGUAGAUGCGGUAGGCGGAAUGUAUGGUGUAGCGGUGAAAUGCUUAGAGAUCAUACAGAACACCGAUUGCGAAGGCAGCUUACCAAUCUAUAUCUGACGUUGAGGCACGAAAGCGUGGGGAGCAAACAGGAUUAGAUACCCCAGUAGUC
rnacentral:rRNA from 1 species